CUCAAUGGAUAAAAGUUACUCUAGGGAUAACAAGCUGAUCUUCCCCAAGAGUUCACAUUGACAAGAAGGUUUGGCACCUCGAUGUCGGCUCUUCGCCACCUGGGGCGAUAGUACAUUCCAAGGGUUGGGAUGUUCGCCCAUUAAAGCGGUACGUGAGAUGGGUUCAGAACGUCAUGAGACAGUUUGGUCCAUAUCUGGUGUGGGUGUUAGAGCAUUGAGAGGACCUUUCCCUAGUACAAGAGGACCGGGAAGGAUGCACCUCUGGUGUACCAGUUAUCGUGCCCACAGUAGACGCUGGGUAGCCAAGUGCAGAGCGGAUAACUACUGAAAUCAUAUAAGUAGGAAGCCCACCCCAAGAUGAGUGCUCUCCUAUUAUUACUUCUCUGAGAACCCUAGUCGCGAACACGGCUGGGACAAUGACGGGUUCUCUGUCCUUGUUGGGGAUGGAGGGACAAAAGUAUUGAGAAUCCAAGAUAAGGUCACGGCGAGACGAGUCGUUUAUCAUUACGAUAGGUGUCAAGUGGAAGUGCAGUGAUGUAUGUAGUUGAGGCAUCCUAACAGACUGAUA
rfam:Picea glauca, whole genome shotgun sequence.